GGUAGUUUGACUGGGGCGGUCUCCUCCCAAAGCGUAACGGAGGAGCACGAAGGUUAGCUAAUCCUGGUCGGACAUCAGGAGGUUAGUGCAAUGGCAUAAGCUAGCUUGACUGCGAGCGUGACGGCGCGAGCAGGUGCGAAAGCAGGUCAUAGUGAUCCGGUGGUUCUGAAUGGAAGGGCCAUCGCUCAACGGAUAAAAGGUACUCCGGGGAUAACAGGCUGAUACCGCCCAAGAGUUCAUAUCGACGGCGGUGUUUGGCACCUCGAUGUCGGCUCAUCACAUCCUGGGGCUGAAGUAGGUCCCAAGGGUAUGGCUGUUCGCCAUUUAAAGUGGUACGCGAGCUGGGUUUAGAACGUCGUGAGACAGUUCGGUCCCUAUCUGCCGUGGGCGCUGGAGAAUUGAGGGGGGCUGCUCCUAGUACGAGAGGACCGGAGUGGACGCAUCACUGGUGUUCGGGUUGUCAUGCCAAUGGCACUGCCCGGUAGCUAAAUGCGGAAGAGAUAAGUGCUGAAAGCAUCUAAGCACGAAACUUGCCCCGAGAUGAGUUCUCCCUGAGACU
rnacentral:rRNA from 1 species